AGAAGUGCUCUUCCAUUGCUUUGUCAUCUCCGUCGGCUUCAUGAUGCACGAGUGCAAAUGUAAGCCUGUUGAAUGCAAAGUAAGUCCCAUUGGGUUUAAAAGGCAGGCGGAGUCCAUAAAGCAGAAAAGCGGUGCGGUUUUUUGGAGAAGCACUACCAACAUCUGAGGAACCAAAGUCUGCAAUCUGCAGCCUCUAGUUUCUCUAGGUCUGCU
rnacentral:lncRNA from 1 species